rnacentral:rRNA from 1 species
UUGGUGUGAAUUGCAGAAUUCAGUGAAUCAUCGAAUCUUUGAACGCACCUUGCGCCCUUUGGUAUUCCGAGGGGCAUGCCUGUUUGAGUGUCAUUAAAUACCAUCAACCCUCUUUUGACUUCGGUCUCGAGAGUGGCUUGGAAGUGGAGGUCUGCUGGAGCCUAACGGAGCCAGCUCCUCUUAAAUGUAUUAGCGGAUUUCCCUUGCGGGAUCGCGUCUCCGAUGUGAUAAUUUCUACGUCGUUGACCAUCUCGGGGCUGACCUAGUCAGUUUCAAUAGGAGUCUGCUUCCAACCGUCUCUUGACCGAGACUAGCGACUUGUGCGCUAACUUUUGACUUGACCUCAAAUCAGGUAGGACUACCCGCUGAACUUAAGCAUAUCAAUAAGCGGAGGA